UACGUAGGCUCCAAACGUUGUUCGGUGUUACUGGGCUUAAAGGGUCCGUAGGCGGUUCGACAAGUCAGGUGUGAAAUCCCGCGGCUUACCCGUGGAACGGCACUUGUUACUGUCAAACUCGAGGCACGCAGGGGUAACCGGAAUUCUGGGUGUAGCGGUGAAAUGCACAGAUAUCCAGGAGAAGGCCGACGGCGAAGGCAGGUUACUGGGCGUGUUCUGACGCUGAGGGACGAAAGCAUGGGGAGCAAACAGA
rnacentral:rRNA from 1 species